AUCUCACCGUAAGGUGCAUUCUUAAAUACAUAGGUGAGGACUGUCAUGAUUUGCGCAACUCGCUUGCAAAUAGUUCAACAGUAUUAACAAUGAUUGAAUUUAGAUGGUGGGCAUAUGGGAAUUUAUCAUCCUAUUAAACAGUUUUCUGUACUUCUGAGACUUAGAAUAAAACAUUGGAAGGAAACUGUUAGACAUAAUGCUCUAUGUGAAGUAAUUUGUUCCCUUUGUGAAAUUCUAGGAAGGUUAAAUUGCAUGUUCAUAACAUCAAGAAAAUCACAAGCAUUUACGAUGUAAUCAGAACUACCUGAGGAUCUGUGAAACUUGGUGUGUUAUUCUGGGAGAUCAUCAGGACUUCUGGGUAUUUGGAGGUACUGACCUAACCAGUGGAACUGCUGAUUUAUAAGAAGUUGUCCAGAAUUUUGGAAAACUGAUUAGUAGAGGCUGGAGACCGAGAAGAACUACCAUUUUUGCCAGCUGGGAUGCAGAAAAAUUUGGACUUCUGGGUUCCACAAAUGGGCUGAGCUCUGUCAUAAUGGAAACUCUGCAGCAGAAUCAGCUGUCAUCUAUCCCGUGUGGCCAAGUGCAGAGGAGAAUGUGAAAACACUCCAGGAGAGAGAGGUUGCAUAUAUCAAUGCAGACUCAUACACAGAAGGCAAUUAUACCCUCAGAGUUGACUGUACACCUCUUCUUUUCCAGUUGGUAUAUAAACUGACAAAAGAGUGGAGGAAUCAGACAUCAUUCAUCUGGAGAAAUGCUGUUGGUUGCUGAGGGCUCAAUCCCGAACUGGAUGAUUUGACUUAGAGACAUUUGGCCCAUUGGCUUCACCACCAAUUUGUCCAUCUCUGAGUGAAGGUGGGAAUCCUUCUAUUUUCUACAAAUGUUCUUUGGUAAACACGUGAGCCUUGUUCCACCUUUGGAGCCUUGUGUUUAUUUAAUGCUUUUGGUGAAAAUCAUGACAGCCACAUAGAUUUUAAGGAGAUAUCCUGUGGGUUAUCAGCUUGUUGCAGAGGACCUCUGGCUGAAAGACAGAAAUUUUGCUUCAAGGUAUUUGAUGUUGACGGUGAUGGAGUUCUCUCUAGGGUUGACAUGAGAGACACGUGGUUGCACAUUUAGAGGUCUGGAAGGACAACUGCACCGAUGAUACCCUGGUAAAGUCUGAUUGUAUACAUCUUCUUGAAUGUAAACUUCCAACAGGAACAUAGAGUGAAGAAUUUUUUAAAACAGGUUGAGAAAAAGAUUUCUUACUACUUCUAGGUUCUAUAUUAUGCUACUCAAAAUAUUCAUAGCCAAAGAUGCAAAAUUGGGAAGAGAAUUUGCCUUAGAAAAUUUAAUAAGCUGAAUGUAUUAUAUUAAAAAAAUGAAACCACUGGAAAAUUGUCAUAAAUUUUUAAGGCAAACAAGCAAUCUAUUUCUGUAAUUAAAAAGAAAAAAAAAGUUGACUGAAAAUACUUUAUACUUCAGCUACUGGCUAAUAAAAAUGAUACCUUCUCUAUCCUAACUACUGAUUUGGGUUUCUGGUUUUAAAGGAAUUACAUGUGGAUGUAUCCAACAUUGUAGAAGACACAUAGAAUGCACAUGACACCACAAAGAAUGGCCAUCUUAACUCUAGAGGAAUAUCAUAUCUGGAGUGUGAAAAAUGUUCUUGCCAAUGAGUUUUUGAAUCUACUUUUCCAGGUAUGUUUAAGGUAAAUGACAGAGACCGAGGGCAGUGGUACCAGUAGUUCUACAUCUUUUCCAUUAUGUAGUAGUUAGACAACUAGACUACAAAACCAUAUAUUGUCAAAAGAACUGCAUUAACCUGUACACCACCUGCAGAUGGUAAGUUAGAGCGUGCAUGCUUCUCAGAGUCACAAUGUGCAUGAUAGGAAAGUAGAGUAUAGCUGAUAAUGUUUAUCUUAAUAACUCAUGAUAGAGCAGAUUGUAGACACAUAGAAAAGAAUUUAAAAUGUAAAAGCCAUUAUAAUUUGCUAUUUUUCUUUACCUUUUUUUUUUUUUUUUUAAGACCCUUCCUAACAAGUAAGGCAGUGUGGACAGAGACAUAGAUCAUAAGUCGGCAGCUGUAAAUUUUUCACAAAGUAUACAAUCUUUCCAGUUAGGAGGUUAUUUUACAUGCAAAUCUGUUUCUUAAUUUUCUUUUAUUCUUUCUUUCUUUCUUUUUUUUUCUUUUUUUUAAUUUAAUUCUUUAGAAGGUCCAAAAAAGAUUGAAGGAGAAAGGAGGAAAAAAAGCUGUCAGGGGUGAACAUGAAAUCAUAAAACUUGCCAGAUUUUAACUAUUUUCCAGUUAAAGUAGUUCUCUUUGCUCCAAUUUAAAGAAACAACUUAUAGUUUCCCAUUUUUCAUAGUUCUUUAUAAAUAUAUGUUGAUUUAAUAAUAUUUUACAGGGUGUGAGUAGGGACAGAUUGGAAGUUCAAGAUUUGUAAAUACUGACAGGUAUAUAUAGAAUAGAUAAACAAGUUUAUACUGUAUAGCACAGGGAAAUAUAUUCAAAAUUUUGUAGUAGCUCAUGGGGAAAAAAUAUGAAAACAAAUAUACGUAUAUUCGUAAAGUACUGAAAAAUUGUGCUGUACACCAGAAAUUGACACAACAUUGUAAACGGACUAUAACUCAGUAAAAAAAUAAAAAUAAGAUAAAACUGUUAGAACACUAUAAAAAAAUAGUAUUUUAGAUUCUUCUUAUUUUAUUCUCCUUUUCUUAUAAAAGCACCCCUAUGAAGAUCAAUAAGACUUGAUAUCUUUAUAUCUAUCAUGAUUCUCCAUUGUAAAUAGAGUAACCUGCCUGUGACACAGCUAUGUUAGAAUAAAUGAAAAUUGGACUCUUCCUGACAGCUAAUAAUUAAUGUAUAUUUAAAGCAUAUGAAAUCUGAUAAGUCUAUGAUACCCAUUUAAAUCAAUCAGUUGCUCCACUGUCAGUUAUCAGCCAGGAUCUAA